rnacentral:rRNA from 1 species
AGCGAACGCUGGCGGCAGGCUUAACACAUGCAAGUCGAGCGGGCGUAGCAAUACGUCAGCGGCAGACGGGUGAGUAACGCGUGGGAACGUACCUUUUGGUUCGGAACAACACAGGGAAACUUGUGCUAAUACCGGAUAAGCCCUUACGGGGAAAGAUUUAUCGCCGAAAGAUCGGCCCGCGUCGGAUGAGCUGGGUGGUGAGGUAACGGCUCACCAAGGCGACGAUCAGUAGCUGGUCUGAGAGGAUGAUCAGCCACAUUCGGACUGAGACACAGCCCAAACUCCUACGGGAGGCAGCAGUGGGGAAUAUUGGACAAUGGGGGUAACCCUGCUCCAGCCAUGCCGCGUGAGUGAUGAAGACCCUAGGGUUGUAGAGCUCUUUUGUGCGGGAAGAUAAUGACGGUACCGAAAGAAUAAGCCCCGGCUAACUUCGUGCAAGCCGCCGCGGUAA